AUACUUACCUGGCAGGGGAGACACCAUGAUCACGAAGGUGGUUUUCCCAGGGCGAGGCUCUCCGGAUGUGCUGACCCUUGUGAUUUCCCCAAAUGUGGGAAACUCGACUGCAUAAUUUGUGAUAGUGGGGGACUGCAUUCGCGCUGUCCCCUG
rnacentral:snRNA from 1 species